rnacentral:ncRNA from 16 species
AGAUAGAGACUGCCGUCAGGUGCCUGCAUCCAGCAGGAGAAUCGGGAAUCCGGUGAAGGACCGGAACGUGCCCAACGCUGUGAGGCGGACGCUUGCUGCAACAAUGGCCACUGGCAUCUGCCGGGAAGGCCGCAGAAAGCGGGUGACGCCAAGUCAGAAGACCGGCCUGGCAAGAUAGACCGAAC